rnacentral:piRNA from 1 species
UUUUGAAUCAUGUAGACUUGGGU